rnacentral:sRNA from 1 species
ACUUGGCGAAUCCGAAGACUUUCCGGGACCUUUCAAAGCCCAUGGGGGCUCAGACCAAGGAAAGGAAGCUGAAAUUUAUCCAGAGGUUUAAAGAAGUUGAGAAAACUGAAGGAGACAUGACCGUCCAGUGCCACUACUACACCCACUACUCCUCGGCCAUCAUCGUGGCCUCCUACCUGGUCCGGAUGCCACCCUUCACCCAGGCCUUCUGCGCUCUGCAGGGCGGAAGCUUCGACGUGGCAGACAGAAUGUUCCACAGUGUGAAGAGCACGUGGGAGUCAGCCUCCAGAGAGAACAUGAGUGACGUCAGGGAGCUGACUCCAGAGUUCUUCUACCUGCCUGAGUUCUUAACCAACUGCAAUGGGGUGGAGUUCGGCUGCAUGCAGGACGGAACUGUGCUAGGAGACGUGCAGCUCCCUCCCUGGGCUGAUGGGGACCCUCGGAAAUUCAUCAGCCUGCACAGACAGGCCCUGGAAAGUGACUUUGUAAGUGCCAACCUCCAACAUUGGAUAGACCUUAUUUUCGGGUACAAGCAGCAGGGGCCAGCCGCAGUGGACGCUGUUAAUAUCUUCCACCCCUACUUCUAUGGUGACAGAAUGAACCUCAGCAGCAUCACUGACCCCCUCAUCAAGAGCACCAUCCUGGGGUUUGUCAGCAACUUUGGACAGGUGCCCAAGCAGCUCUUUACCAAACCUCACCCAGCCAGGACUGCAGCAGGGAAGCCUCUGCCUGGAAAGGAUGUCUCCACCCCCAUGAGCCUGCCUGGCCACCCACAGCCCUUUUUCUACAGUCUGCAGUCGCUGAGGCCCUCCCAGGUCACGGUCAAAGGUGAUUCCCUGGCCCUGCAUUGUUUGGUGUCCUGUCCCAGGGUUGUCCCUCCAGUGGCUGGGUUCCUCUGGAGGUCCAGCGCCACAUACCUGGGCAAAGUAUUGGGGACUGACUUUGAAUGGCUGCAUCUCCAGUCACAGCCAGAUUCUAGGGGGGUGUCGUCUCUGGGAAGUGUCUAGGAGCUCCUCUGUUAGACCCUAACUUCUGAAGACCCACAUCUCUUUGUCUUUCUCGCUGUCUCUCUCUCACACAUACACACACACACACCUCUUUCAGGCACACACACACAUCUCUCUUCCUCUUCCUCUCUUUUAUACAUGCACACACACAUGUACACACACAUACCUUCUCUCCUCAAGAGACCAGUGGAGAGUCCCAAGUUUCCCAAGGAAGGAUUACAACCUCUGUUCUUUGGCCACUGGUCCUCCUAAGCAGGGCAGGAUAGGCAGGCAGCCAGUAGCUAAGAACAUGUGCCCUGGGGCAGAUGGCCCAGGAGUGAAUUCCAGUCCUACUGCUUCCUGCCUGUGUGACCUUGGGCAAGCCAUUGAACCUCCAUGUUCCCAUGGGGAUUGGAAUAGGGUUGAAUGGACGCUAUUACAGAAUUGUAUUGAUGCUUAGAUAAAUGAGCCUGCAGAGAGUUGGUGAGGAAAGGAUGAAAAACAUGAGAAAUAGGUUGAGCCAAUGAAGGGAGCCAUGUGAUCUAGGGAGGGAAGAGGGUCACUCUGGCCCUAUUAUUGAGAAACAGUUCUUCCAGGGACCAGGGGCUCCUCAGCAAGGCCAGUCAGCAAGAGCGCAAUGAGAUGGGCAACCUUCGGUGCCCAGCACAUAGUGGUGAUUAUUAGUCCAUCUCUUCUGACCACAGUUCAGUGGCUUCCUCAGCUGCCACCAAGGCUCAGAGAGGCUCUAUAGAAGCAGGAGUCCACUGGGGUGGAGGUGGUUCCACUGGGGUGGGGGUGAUCCCACCCAGCCCAGGAGGGAGGAUCACCCAGAUGGAAGCAGAAGAGAGGGUGAGGCUGGGUUCCUAGGGCCAUGUAUGUAUGAAGUCGGGUGCCAGUGUCAUCUGAGGACAUGCACUGCCUUGGGGAAAUUCCACUACAUUGAACAACAUGCAGGUCCUAAGGAGUAUGAAGUUAAGUUUUCAGGGGUUUUAGUGGUGUCCUUUUUUAUCCUUGAAGUCCAAGAACAGUGUCAUUGGCACACCCCACCCUGGUAGAUAAGGUGCUGCUACUCUUGGCUCUGGGGUCCAUGCCUCCAUUUGCCCCAGGACUGGGGAUCUGCUGCUGCAUUGAAGUCCCUGGGCAGUCAGGCACAGCCCCUGCCCUCACGGAGAGGGACAUGAGGUGCAAACCACAUCAACAGUAACAAGGGAGCUCAAAUCUCCCAUAUGGGCUCCAGGAGACUGAUGCAGAUCUUACCAGCCACGGGUCCUGGGGAUCCUUCCUGAGGCUCAGUUUCCUCAUGUGUAAGGUAUGGAAGACAAUGGCCCUGCCCUCAGGCUUGUGACAGUGCCAUGAAGUGGUGUCUGUCACACAGGCAGGCAACAAGCCAGAGCUGAAACAGGAUUCCUGGCAGAUGCUGGUGCCACUCUGAGCACACACACUGGGCCUUGCUUUAAGGGGCCUGGCUUUACUCUCUCCCUUUGAUCUGAGCAGCCCCAGAGGGUAAGGGCCAUUGAUGCCACAGUUCCUUCCCUACAGGGAGAGACAUCUCACAGUCUUAUUCUGGAGCCUUUCCUGAAUCCUGCUCCCUCUCUUCCUCCUGGGUGGUAGGGUCAGGAAGAGGGUGGUUCUCCCACUUCACCCAGCACAGGGCAAGGAAGGGAGUGGCCCACACCAGGAGGAAGGAAAGGCCCCUACGUGGUGGCUGUGGUGUGCACAGUCUUAAAAACUAGGCUGGCCUCAGUGUUUUGAGUCAACAAGCUGCACCAGGCUCUGUGCCAGGGGACACACAUUGAAAGGGGCAUGGUUGUCUCUACUCCAUGGGAAGAGGCUGGGGUCUGAAGAGAUGGAAUGACUUUGCCAGCAUAACCAGACUUGGAAUGAGGUCUGGGCAGCUCCAAAUCCCAUGCUGUGAACCAUAUUCCAGCUGGGGCUGGAUAUGGCUCCCAGAAUGGAGCUGAGGGAGGAUGGGAAGUGUGCCUCCCUGUGACUCCUGCCCUGGGGCCCGGCUACAGUGGGUGCUGUCCUUCUGUGCAUAAGUUGAAGUCCAGUGUGUCUGCCUGUCACUCCUGCCCAGGGCCCAGCUGCAGUGGGUGUUGUCCUUCCAUGUAUAAGUUCAAGUCCAGUGUGUCUGCCUGUGACUCCUGCCUGGGGGCCCAGCUGUAGUGGGUGCUGUACUUUCAUGCAUAAGUUUGCCAUACUAACUGGGGUGUAGAUAUGUACCUCUUUUCUCUAGGCUCAGAGUCCCCCAGAGGGGCCAUUGGCCACAUUGUCCCUACUGAGAAGACCAUUCUGGCUGUAGAGAGGAACAAAGUGCUGCUGCCUCCUCUCUGGAACAGAACCUUCAGCUGGGGCUUUGAUGACUUCAGCUGCUGCUUGGGGAGCUACGGCUCCGACAAGAUCCUGAUGACAUUCGAGAACCUGGCUGCCUGGGGCCGCUGUCUGUGCGCCGUGUGCCCGUCCCCAACAAUGAUUGUCACCUGUGGGACCAGCACUGUGGUGUGUGUGUGGGAGCUCAGCAUGACCAAAGGCCGCCCAAGGGGCUUGCGCCUCCGGCAGGCCUUGUAUGGACACACACAGGCUGUCACGUGCCUGGCAGCAUCAGUCACAUUCAGCCUCCUGGUGAGCGGCUCCCAGGACUGCACCUGUAUCCUGUGGGACCUGGACCACCUCACCCAUGUGACCCGCCUGCCCACCCAUCGGGAGGGCAUCUCAGCCAUCGCCAUCAGUGACGUCUCAGGCACCAUUGUCUCCUGUGCGGGAGCACACUUGUCCCUAUGGAAUGUCAAUGGACAGCCCCUGGCCAGCAUCACCACAGCCUGGGGCCCAGAAGGAGCCAUAACCUGCUGCUGCCUGAUGGAGGGCCCAGCAUGGGACACAAGCCAGAUCAUCAUCACCGGGAGUCAAGACGGCAUGGUCCGGGUUUGGAAGACUGAGGAUGUGAAGAUGUCUGUUCCUGGACGGCCAGCAGGAGAGGAGCCCCCAGCUCAGCCUCCAAGCCCAAGAGGCCACAAGUGGGAGAAGAACCUGGCCUUGAGUCGAGAGCUGGACGUUAGCACUGCUUUGACAGGGAAGCCCAGCAAAACCAGCCCCGCGGUGACGGCUCUGGCCGUGUCCAGAAACCAGACCAAACUCCUGGUUGGUGAUGAGAGGGGGAGAAUAUUCUGCUGGUCUGCAGAUGGGUAGGAAGAGAGAGGCAGCAGAGGCUCUGGCACAACAGUGCCAGGCUGAGGGCGGCAGAGGUGACUGGGGCCUGAGUUCUGCCUACAGAGGAAACCCCCAGGGCCUCCUUCCCCACAGCUCUCAAGGAAGGGCCUCUGGCAAUCAGAGCUCUGCACCCCAACCCUCUCCAUGGCCGAUGGGACUUCUAUGAAAAGGAUGAGCGCACACACUCAGAGGGCUGAGCAGCACGCUGGAAACUGUGACUUGGUGAUGCCCAGCUGCACACGAAAUUAUGCAUGACUCACCUUGUUAAGGGCUAUUGCACUGAAAAAAAAAAAAAAAAAGAUGGGGUCGCUUACUGGAAAUUAUUGAAUUGUCUUUAUUUUAUUAAAGCAACUAUGUUCUAAAUGCC